rnacentral:rRNA from 1 species
AUUGAACGCUGGCGGCAGGCCUACACAUGCAAGUCGAACGAGUGGCGGACGGGUGAGUAAUGUCUGGGCAACUGCCUGAAGGAGGGGGAUAACUACUGGAAACGGUAGCUAAUACCGCAUACCAUCGGAUGUGCCCAGAUGGGAUUAGCUAGUAGGUGGGGUAAAGGCUCACCUAGGCGAAGAUACCUAGAUGGUCUGAGAGGAUGACCAGCCACACUGGAACUGCGACACGGUCGAGACUCCUACGGGAGGCAGCAGUGGGGAAUAUUGCACAAGGGGCGCAAGCCUGAUGCAGCCAUGCCGCGUGUAUGAAGAAGGCCUUCGGGUUGUAAAGUACUGUCAGCGGGGAGGCGUUACCCACAGAAGAAGCACCGGCUAACUCCGUGCCAGCCGCCGCGGUAAUUC